rfam:Gasterosteus aculeatus cont1.013911, whole genome shotgun sequence.
ACAAAGGCUCUUUUAAGAGCCACCCACUCACAUGAAAAGAGCUGU